UGUCGGGGCAGUAUAACAUGAUACAUUCUGCUUACACCAGGAAGCUGGCUUUAGCCCCCCGAUAU
rnacentral:tRNA from 1 species